rnacentral:rRNA from 1 species
CUUAGGGAGGAGCUUGCGUCACAUUAGUUAGUUGGUGGGGUAAAGGCCUACCAAGACUAUGAUGUGUAGCCGGGCUGAGAGGUUGAACGGCCACAUUGGGACUGAGACACGGCCCAAACUCCUACGGGAGGCAGCAGUAGGGAAUUUUCGGCAAUGGAGGAAACUCUGACCGAGCAACGCCGCGUGAACGAUGAAGUAUUUCGGUACGUAAAGUUCUUUUAUUAGGGAAGAAUAAAUGAUGGAAAAAUCAUUCUGACGGUACCUAAUGAAUAAGCCCCGGCUAACUAUGUGCCAGCAGCCGCGGUAAUACAUAGGGGGCAAGCGUUAUCCGGAAUUAUUGGGCGUAAAGGGUGCGUAGGCGGUUAAAUAAGUUUAUGGUCUAAGUGCAAUGCUCAACAUUGUGAUGCUAUAAAAACUGUUUAGCUAGAGUAAGAUAGAGGCAAGUGGAAUUCCAUGUGUAGUGGUAAAAUGCGUAAAUAUAUGGAGGAACACCAGUAGCGAAGGCGGCUUGCUGGGUCUUUACUGACGCUGAGGCACGAAAGCGUGGGGAGCAAACAGGAUUAGAUACCCUGGUAGUCCACGCCGUAAACGAUGAGUACUAAACGUUGGGUAAAACCAGUGUUGAAGUUAACACAUUAAGUACUCCGCCUGAGUAGUACGUACGCAAGUAUGAAACUUAAAGGAAUUGACGGGACUCCGCACAAGCGGUGGAUCAUGUUGUUUAAUUCGAAGGUACCCGAAAAACCUCACCAGGUCUUGACAUGCUUCUGCAAAACUGUAGAAACACAGUGGAGGUUAUCAGUUGCACAGGUGGUGCAUGGUUGUCGUCAGCUCGUGUCGUGAGAUGUUGGGUUAAGUCCCGCAACGAGCGCAACCCUUAUUGUUAGUUACCAGCACGUAAUGGUGGGGACUUUANCAAGACUGCCAGUGAU